AGUGAACGCUGGCGGUAGGCCUAACACAUGCAAGUCGAACGGCAGCACAGUAAGAGCUUGCUCUUACGGGUGGCGAGUGGCGGACGGGUGAGGAAUACAUCGGAAUCUACUUUUUCGUGGGGGAUAACGUAGGGAAACUUACGCUAAUACCGCAUACGACCUACGGGUGAAAGCAGGGGAUCUUCGGACCUUGCGCGAUUGAAUGAGCCGAUGUCGGAUUAGCUAGUUGGCGGGGUAAAGGCCCACCAAGGCGCCGAUCCGUAGCUGGUCUGAGAGGAUGAUCAGCCACACUGGAACGGAGACACGGUCCAGACGCCUACGGGAGGCAGCAGUGGGGAAUAUUGGACAAUGGGCGCAAGCCUGAUCCAGCCAUACCGCGUGGGUGAAGAAGGCCUGCGGGUUGUAAAGCCCUUUUGUUGGGAAAGAAAAGCGGCAGGUUAAUACCCCGCUGUUCUGACGGUACCCAAAGAAUAAGCACCGGCUAACUUCGUG
rnacentral:rRNA from 1 species